rnacentral:rRNA from 1 species
CGGGAGGCAGCAGUUAGGAAUCUUCCACAAUGGGCGAAAGCCUGAUGGAGCGACACUGCGUGAAGGAUGAAGGUUUUAGGAUCGUAAACUUCUAAAAGAGGGACGAAUAAUGACGGUACCUCUUGAAAAGCACCGGCUAACUCCGUGCCAGCAGCCGCGGUAAUACGGAGGGUGCAAGCGUUAUCCGGAAUCACUGGGCGUAAAGGGCGCGUAGGCGGUCUGUUAAGUCCGAUGUUAAAGCGUGAGGCUCAACCUCAUCNCGGCGUUGGAUACUGGCAGGCUUGACGACNGGAGAGGAAAGUGGAAUUACCAGUGUAGCGGUGGAAUGCGUAGAUACUGGUAGGAAUACCAUUGCGAAGGCAGCUUGCUGGACAGUUUGUGACGCUGAGGCGCGAAAGUGUGGGGAGCAAACCGGAUUAGAUACCCGGGUAGUCCACACCCUAAAC